UCCGGCUUGACGCCGGCAGUCCCCCGAGAGUCCUCAGCACUACCCGUUAGUAACACGGGGCAAGGGUUGCGCUCGUUGCGGGACUUAACCCAACAUCUCACGACACGAGUUGACGACAGCCAUGCAGCACCUGUGCACGGACUCCGAAGAGGGACCGAUGUUUCCACCGGCUUUCCCGUGCAUGUCAAACCCAGGUAAGGUUCUUUGCGUUGCAUCGAAUUAAUCCACAUGCUCCGCCGCCUGUGCGGGCCCCCGUCAAUUCCUUUGAGUUUUAGCCUUGCGGCCGUACUCCCCAGGCGGGGCGCUUAAUGCGUUAGCUACGGCACGGAUCCCGUGGAAGGAAACCCACACCUAGCGCCCACCGUUUACGGCGUGGACUAC
rnacentral:misc_RNA from 1 species